rnacentral:rRNA from 1 species
UACGGAGGAUGCAAGCGUUAUCCGGAAUGAUUGGGCGUAAAGGGUCUGUAGGUGGCAGUGAAAGUCUGCGGUUAAAGAGUCUAGCUCAACUAGAUAAGAGCCGUGGAAACUACACAGCUAGAGUAUGGUCGGGGCAAGAGGAAUUCCUGGUGUAGCGGUGAAAUGCGUAGAUAUCAGGAAGAACACCGGUGGCGAAAGCGUUUUGCUAGGCCGAGACUGACACUGAGGGACGAAAGCUAGGGGAGCGAAUGGG